rnacentral:miRNA from 1 species
ACUGCCGAGUCAGCGCUUCGC